UACGUAGGGCGCAAGCGUUGUCCGGAAUUAUUGGGCGUAAAGAGCUCGUAGGCGGCUUGUCACGUCGGGUGUGAAAGCCCGGGGCUUAACCCCGGGUCUGCAUUCGAUACGGGCUAGCUAGAGUGUGGUAGGGGAGACUGGAAUUCCUGGUGUAGCGGUGAAAUGCGUAGAUAUCGAGAGGAACACCUGCGGCGAAGGCGGGUUGCUGGGCUGACACUGACGCUGAUGCGCGAAAGCCAGGGGAGCGAACGGG
rnacentral:rRNA from 1 species